rnacentral:rRNA from 1 species
GAAUUCGCCCUUAGAGUUUGAUCCUGGCUCAGGAUGAACGCUGGCGGCGUGCUUAACACAUGCAAGUCGAACGAGAGAUGAGGAGCUUGCUCUUCAAAUCGAGUGGCGAACGGGUGAGUAACGCGUGAGGAACCUGCCUCAAAGAGGGGGACAACAGUUGGAAACGACUGCUAAUACCGCAUAAGCCCACGGCUCGGCAUCGAGCAGAGGGAAAAGGAGCAAUCCGCUUUGAGAUGGCCUCGCGUCCGAUUAGCUAGUUGGUGAGGUAACGGCCCACCAAGGCGACGAUCGGUAGCCGGACUGAGAGGUUGAACGGCCACAUUGGGACUGAGACACGGCCCAGACUCCUACGGGAGGCAGCAGUGGGGAAUAUUGCACAAUGGGGGAAACCCUGAUGCAGCGACGCCGCGUGGAGGAAGAAGGUCUUCGGAUUGUAAACUCCUGUUGUUGAGGAAGAUAAUGACGGUACUCAACAAGGAAGUGACGGCUAACUACGUGCCAGCAGCCGCGGUAAAACGUAGGUCACAAGCGUUGUCCGGAAUUACUGGGUGUAAAGGGAGCGCAGGCGGGAGAACAAGUUGGAAGUGAAAUCCAUGGGCUCAACCCAUGAACUGCUUUCAAAACUGUUUUUCUUGAGUAGUGCAGAGGUAGGCGGAAUUCCCGGUGUAGCGGUGGAAUGCGUAGAUAUCGGGAGGAACACCAGUGGCGAAGGCGGCCUACUGGGCACCAACUGACGCUGAGGCUCGAAAGUGUGGGUAGCAAACCAGGAUUAGAUACCCUGGUAGUCCACACCGUAAACGAUGAAUACUAAGUG